rnacentral:lncRNA from 1 species
AGAAAUGUUAUUAAAUUAAACCUUUAUACUAGGAAAAUAUUAAUAUAUCUUGAUAUUGUAACAGAGGAAAUAACUGAGCAUAAUCCAAAAGAUUAUGAUGUUACAACUUACAUCACAUGUUAAUUAACGAAUACUUCUAUUGCGAUUUAGUUUUCCACUGCUUACUAUGUUUUGCUUAUUUCUCAUAUCUCAAGUACAAUUGUUUAUAGUGAAUUGUGUAUUACCUUGCACUGUAAAGCAAAUUAAGGUCGCUACGAUCCAAUCUCAUUCCAAGACCAGGAACUUUGUUGUUAAUCUUCAGAUAUAUGGCUUGAUCCGGUUGCACACGAAGCACUAGUUCAUUUGUAGCUUUGUCUAGAUUUGUCCCAAAAUUAUUCUUGUACAAAUUACCAGGGACAUGCCUGAACUGAACUCUGAUUUCUGCACUGAAUUCCAUUGCAACAAGAACAUCAGACCUUUCAUUGCAAUAAAUAGUCAGCAUAAAGAUCAGUCUACUAUAAAACUAUCAUGUAAAUAUGAGUGAAGGAUCUAUCUACCGCCUAGUAUGGAGUGCCUUUCCCGCCUUCAUAAGGAAAGGAACUCCAUCCCAUCGUGCGUUAUCAAUAAACAGCGCUGCAGCUGCGAAUGUUGGAGUUAGACUGUCCUUCGGCACAGUUGGGUCAUCUGUAUAUCCUAGAUAUGAUUUGGUACCCUUGCUGUGGCCCUUAUAUUGACCUACAAUUACAUCUUCAAGCUGCAGAGGUCUCAUUGACCUUAAAACCUUGACCUGAAUAGUGAUCACUAAUAGUAUUAGAUAGUUCUUCUAUUCACAUGGAGCUAUAUUUCUCUAAAGACUUGUGAAUUUCAGUACUUUUGUGUCCUCCUGGAAUGGAGUUCCACUCAGCAGCAUAAUUUGAAAAACUAAUUAAUUAAGUCGGGUGGUUAUAACCUUUUCAUUUCGUAUAUCCUCAGCAUCCAGGCUGACGGGUGUCUCCAUCGCAAAAAGUGUUAAUAUUUGUAGGAGAUGAUUUUGCAUUAUAUCUCUGAUGAUUCCGUAGUUGUCAAAGUAUCUGGUGACAAAAACAGAUACAACAAUUUUUAGAAACCAAGCCCAAAAACAAUUUUAAACUAUCAUAUGUUCUCUAGUUACACAUAUGAGCUUACCCUCCUCUGCCAUCUGUACCAAAAUCUUCGGAAAAUAUUAGUUGCACAUUUCGGAUGUAAUUCCUUGACCAAAGUGGCUCGAAAACAAGAUUUGAGAAGCGAAGCACUGAUAGGUNCGAUUUAGUUUUCCACUGCUUACUAUGUUUUGCUUAUUUCUCAUAUCUCAAGUACAAUUGUUUAUAGUGAAUUGUGUAUUACCUUGCACUGUAAAGCAAAUUAAGGUCGCUACGAUCCAAUCUCAUUCCAAGACCAGGAACUUUGUUGUUAAUCUUCAGAUAUAUGGCUUGAUCCGGUUGCACACGAAGCACUAGUUCAUUU